rnacentral:tRNA from 1 species
CUAAGUAUUGUUUCUGGAGAAAUUGUCAAUCGAGGUAGCGCGCACCCUUGGGGUGGGUGAGGUCGUGGGUUCGAAUCCCGCUACUCUGA